GACACCAAGCCUCUGUAAAGCUCCUUCGACGAGUCGAGUAGUUUGGGAAUGCUGCUCUAAAUGGGAGGUAAAUUUCUUCUAAAGCUAAAUAUUGGCCAGAGACCGAUAGCGCACAAGUAGAGUGAUCGAAAGAUGAAAAGUACUUUGAAAAGAGGGUUAAAUAGCACGUGAAAUUGUUGAAAGGGAAGCGUUUAUGACCAGACCUUCGUCGGGCGGAUCAUCCGGUGUUCUUCACCGGUGCACUUCGCCCGGCCUAGGCCAGCAUCGGUUUUUCGCAGGGGGAUAAAGGCCUGGGGAAUGUGGCUCCCUCCGGGGAGUGUUAUAGCCCCGGGCGCAAUACCCUUGCGGGGACCGAGGUUCGCGCUCCGGCAAGGAUGCUGGCGUAAUGGUCAUCAACGACCCGUCUUGAAACACGGACCAAGGAGUCGAACAUUUAUGCGAGUGUUUGGGUGUCAAACCCUUGCGCGUAAUGAAAGUGAACGUAGGUGAGAGCCCGUACGGGUGCAUCAUCGACCGAUCUUGAUGUUUUCGGAUGGAUUUGAGUAAGAGCAUAGCUGUUCGGACCCGAAAGAUGGUGAACUAUGCGUGGAUAGGGUGAAGCCAGAGGAAACUCUGGUGGAGGCUCGCAGCGGUUCUGACGUGCAAAUCGAUCGUCAAAUCU
rnacentral:rRNA from 1 species